rnacentral:lncRNA from 1 species
UUAUUAUUAUUAUUAGGUCUUUCCACUUUUCCGUGGAAAGACCUAUUGGUUUUCUUCUGAUUAUUAUUAUUUUUUUUCUUCCGCCUAAUUUUCUUUCCUUCGCAGUUUUUUUGUUUCGCAAGAUGUCGCUUAGAUAUAUGGUAUAUGAUAUCGAACAAUUAAUACGCUUUUGAAACUGACAGCUCGUAACCAAAAUCUUAUCCAUGUAAGAGUUAUCUCCCCGAACACUGUUUUUCUUGUUAUCGCUUAAUCUUCGCAACCGUAUAAGAAACCGACAAAUUUAUUUUACCAAAUUGCUCGUUAUAUCCUCAGGAUGAUUUGAUUCAUUUUGACCGAAGCUAUCCGGAGACUCCAUAUGAGAGUUAUUUCCCCUUUUAUAUUUGAUAUAAGUGAUAUGCAUUUUUAACUGGAAAACCAUAAGUGGUAGAGGCCUAGGGUCUUUUGAUUUGAGGUCCUUGGUCCAAAAAAAUUAAAAUGAGGUCAAGGUCAAAGGUCAAGGUCAUGAUUAAAAUUUUGAUUUUGGCUUGUUAUCUCUUAUUUUCAGUAAUCAUACAAGAUAUCGACAAAAUAUUUUCACACAAUUGUUAGUUACGACAUGUCGUAACACAUAAAUUUUAGUCGAAAGGGUACGUAGACAUUUGACGCGAGUUUUCCCCAUUUUUAUAUCUAAUAUCAUACGUAUGGUAAUAUAACUCAUUAACAAUAUAAAGUAGAGGACUAGAGUCUUUUGAUUUGAGGUCCUUGGUUUAUAACCUUGAAAUUGAGCUCAAGGUCAUAUGCUAAUUAAACGUUCUAGAUUUUGACCUUUGCUUUUACCUCAUAUGUACACAUGAUAAAGCCAUGGGACUUUUUGCAUUAAGUUGUAAGCAAUGUGACCUUAAAAAACACAACCGGAAGUGACCUUUUGUAAACCGGAAGUAGGUAUUUUUUGUACUAAAUCAAAGUAAAAGUAUAUAGAACCAUAUAUUUUUGGAAUCAGUGUCAAGUAAACUAUCAAACAAUACCGGAAGUAAACUUUUUAAACCGGAAGUAAAAGAUUAUCUCCCUUUUCGAUAUAUUUUUUUUUAUAGAAACC